ensembl:lncRNA
CACCACCACCACCACCACUAUCUGUGUGGGUUGGGGAGAGAAUUUUUUUUUUUCCUCCUCUUUCCCUAAAGCGAAGCGUGAUGGCAGCGGGACACGCGCGCACACAUUCCCGAGCCGCACACGCACACGCGCUCCGACCCUCCUUUCCCACCCCUUUUCCUUACAUCCCGGCGGCGAGGGUUUCUCUGGGAGGAAUUCACUCUCCGCCACGAAUCGGGAGACGCUGGGCUCCCGAGGAGCGCACCUCGGGCACUUUCCCCAUUUCCCACGCAGUGGUAUAUUUUAGGGUGCUGCGAAAUGAAGGCUUGAGAGGAUGGUGUAUUAUUCCCUGCCCCGUGCCCGACACUUUCUGGAAAGCAGCAGAACAGGUGGCAGAACUCAAAGAGGAACAUUCAUUGGUUUCUGGAUUCAGCAGCAGCCUCUACAGUUUCAUUAUUCCUGUUGACAACAGAGAAGUGAAGAUGCCUGGCCUGGGAGCGCUCGUGUAUUGCACCCAAAUUACACAUUCUUGUUCAUAAAGAGUAGAGCAAAGUAUAAAUGUGAAACGUCGUUGCUCAUGUCUCAGGCAACUACUCACAUCUUAAUUGAAAACGAUCCAAUAACAGCAUCCUCUCAGACAAAGCAAUUCCGCCUAUCUCUGCACUCACUGAAGGCUGUCGUGCCGCAUGGGCAGCAGAUGGCCUUGGCCAUCACCACCCCAGAGCACACAGAAGGAUACCCAGUGCCGCUUUGGGUUUCCUUUCCCCUCAGGCCCCUCGAGAUGGUCCCAGUGGUGAUGGCAGAGACAUGCUCCUGAUGUCAGGGUCACACUUGCCACUUUCCCUAUCCUGCUUUCACUGCAUCCCAUACACCUCUGCUUUUGUUCUGCUUGGGAGCUGCAGGUCAGUGACACAGUGUUGGUUGGUCAUUCCUCAUCCCUCAGCUGCCCCUUCAAAAUGCAGUUCAGGCUGCCCAGAGAGCUGUGCCCAUCUCUGAAGGCAUUCAAGGCCAGGUUGAAUGGGGCCCUUGGCAGCCUGUGCUGGUGGAUGGCAGCCAACCCAUGGCAGAGGUUUGGAAUGGGGUGAUUGCUGAGGUCCCAUUCAACCCAACCCAUUCUAUGAGUCUGUGACUGAGCCACCUCACAUCUGGGACCAAAGCUUCAGAGGCAUGAUACUCAAUGGCCACAGAGAUGCAAAGUGUUUGCAGAGCAGCAAAUAAAGUCUUUCCUGAGCCAACUGUUCCACCUGGACCCCACUACAAAUUAUUGUUUUCAAUUACCACCUGUGUACUCCUUCCCAUGCAACUUAUUGAUGUAAAAUUACAACAACACUGGUAUAAAUAAGUUAUGCUGCGGUUGUAAAAUGGAAGAAAUUUUGUUGUAGCAAUUAUGUUCAGCAAGAUGACAAAAUAAAUUUCCAGUGCUGUGCUUGCAGUAACCUGGGGAAUUUAAACCUCAUAAUUUCCAUUCAUUUCAGAUAAUUUGGAGUAAUUUCUAUAUGUAAUAACUUUGUAAUGAAAAACACAGCGGUACUGAAGUGAUUUCAACUCUUUUUUUUUUUUUCCUCCUAUGGUAUACAUGGCACGAAAUAAAUAAUAAAAAUAAUAUUUCCUUUUUGUAUGUGUUCGGUAAUUCUUUCAGCAAAAUCAUAAACUAAUACCAGG